UCCUCUACUGAGCAGGGAACCCAACUCGGCGCUCUAUCCCAGGACCCUGGGAUCAUGACCUGAGCCGAAGGCAGCCGCUUAACCAACUGAGC